rnacentral:rRNA from 1 species
GUCCACGCCCUAAACGAUGUCAACUGGUUGUUGGGUCUUCACUGACUCAGUAACGAAGCUAACGCGUGAAGUUCGACCGCCGUGGGGAGUACGGCCGCAAGGUUAGAAACUCAAAAGGAAUUGGACCGGGGACCCGCACAAGCGGUGGAUGAUGUGGUUUAAUUCGAUGCAACGCGAAAAACCUUACCCACCUUUGACAUGUACGGAAGUCGCUAGAGAUAGCUUCGUGCUCGAAAGAGAGCCGUAAACACAGGUGCUGCAUGGCUGUCGU